CCCAGGUGAACUCUUCAUCCCAGCUCAAAGCAGAGUUUAGAUGAAGCUGAGCGAGGACACGCAUCUUAUUCUCGUCAUCAUCCAGACUUCGCAAUACCACCGUCAAUGUCUCGUCAUCAUAAAAACGGGCAUCAAGGCAACCAGACUCACGGCCGGUUUCUGUAAGCACAAAUCAAUGGACCCCUCCAUCAUUCUCUUGACAAAGUGCAGAGACUUCUGUGGGUAAGUGGGAAAGAGUAAUGGACUGUCUGCAACAAAUCAAACAUGCAAGUGCUCUGCUUUACAAAGGUCACCCACUGGUUGCCCUCCAUGUUGGGUGGAGAUACCAAGUCUUCAUCUUCAUCCUUCAAGUACUGCAAAAAAAACAGACCAAGCUUGUUUGUGAUCGCCUUGCUUGUGAUGAACUCUAACCUGGACAAACUUAGUGAGACGGAGGUCCAUCUGCAUAAGAAUGUCCUCCCAAGCCUCACACAUGCAGGUGAGAGAGAGACGCAGAUACUAAACAACAUAGGAGGAGAACGAAAGAUGUAUGAAUAAAAACAAGGUUACAGCUUCUAUCAGUAGAGGCUUGUGAAGAUACUUACCUGCAGCAGUGUGGAAAUGUGUGUAAACUUGCGGGCCAUUUUGGUCAACUCAGGUAAACAUGAAGACAGCAGACCGGUGUCCAGCUGCAAAACAGUCACAGUCAACCCAUGAUAUCAACCCCUACAUUGAAUUCAUCCUUAUACGGGUUGCAUAAGGUGAUGUGUGACUCAGCCUGCUUGUAUUUCGGUUUACUUUGACAUCGACCUUCAAUAAAUAACAGUUACAUAAAAUUAUAGUACUGAUAUAAUUUGCUGGAUUUCAUUAGCUGUUUUUUUAAGCACUUGUGGACUGAAAUACAUAAUCCGAUUAAUAAAAGAGACAGUAACUAAA